rnacentral:rRNA from 1 species
UCGUGGGGUACGCUCUACACCCUUUGUGACAUACCUACAACUGUUGCUUCGGCGGGUAGGGUCUCCGCGACCCUCCCGGCCUCCCGCCUCCGGGCGGGUCGGCGCCCGCCGGAGGAUAACCAAACUCUGAUUUAACGACGUUUCUUCUGAGUGGUACAAGCAAAUAAUCAAAACUUUUAACAACGGAUCUCUUGGUUCUGGCAUCGAUGAAGAACGCAGCGAAAUGCGAUAAGUAAUGUGAAUUGCAGAAUUCAGUGAAUCAUCGAAUCUUUGAACGCACAUUGCGCCCGCCAGCAUUCUGGCGGGCAUGCCUGUUCGAGCGUCAUUUCAACCCUCAAGCUCUGCUUGGUGUUGGGGCCCUACAGCCGAUGUAGGCCCUCAAAGGUAGUGGCGGACCCUCCCGGAGCCUCCUUUGCGUAGUAACUUUACGUCUCGCACUGGGAUCCGGAGGGACUCUUGCCGUAAAACCCCCCAAUUUUCCAAAGGUUGACCUCGGAUCAGGUAGGAAUACCCGCUGAACUUAAGCAUAUCAAAAGCCGGGGGAGAAAAUC